rnacentral:rRNA from 1 species
GUGUCAGCCGCCGCGGUAAUACGUAGGGGCCAAGCGUUGUCCGGAUUUAUUGGGCGUAAAGAGCUCGUAGGUGGUUCGGCAAGUCAGUUGUGAAAUCUCCGCGCUCAACGCGGAGGGGUCAGCUGAAACUGCUGUGACUUGAGUCUGGUAGGGGAGUGUGGAAUUCCCGGUGUAGCGGUGAAAUGCGCAGAUAUCGGGAGGAACACCAGUGGCGAAGGCGGCACUCUGGGCCAGUACUGACACUGAGGAGCGAAAGCGUGGGGAGCGAACAGGAUUAGAUACCCCCGUAGUCC